rnacentral:lncRNA from 1 species
AUUGCUCUUUGGAGUCCCUGAGCCACAUUUCCUAUUCGUUUGCUUCCUCUGGCCCCAUCAUCACACAUUUCUAAAGCUGACUCAUAGGUCAUGUGCAUAAGAAAUUUGUUACAACGAUUCUGCUUGUACUUUGGCGUGAUAUUUUUUCUUACUUAAUUUUCCUUGUCGUGAUUACAAUAGAUGCAACCAAUAGCUUUUAAUAGGUGGCACAUACUCAUAACAUGGUUUGCUCAUGGUUUAGAAACACCAAUAAUUUAAAGUAUGAAUUCUGUAAAUCUGCAACCACCCCCUCCCCCAUUUUCAAUCUCAUUCAUUUUCUAGCAGCAUAAAUCAGAAAGCAAAACCUUUGUUGCUUUAAAGAUCCUGCUUUGCCUUUUUAAAAUGUGUUCU